rnacentral:lncRNA from 1 species
UACUAUUUUGCACAUUGUUUUCCGUUGGAAGCUUAAUCCUAAAACCAACCGCCUUUUGAGUGCUUUCUUCUUGAGGAUCUAGUGUCUUCUGUCUCUCCUGGCCAUAAUGGAUCUCAGAUUAAUUGAAGUGUCCUUUAGGUUGAAUUUAAGAUCUAACAACAACAUCAUCAACCUAGCUACUCUGCUGGUAUCAUUACCAAGAGCAAUAAGAUCACGCAGAAAUCAUCAAACUAGAGCAUUACCAGUUAAUGAUGACAUUCCCUACCCAAUUCAAGAAACAAGUCGUGAUCAGCUACAUACUGCUAUACAUCUUCCAGAUGGGAGGCUCAUGCCAUUAAGAGCAUCCCAAGGACCUUCAAUUGUCUGAUGAUGCCAGGGCCAGGAGAGACAGAUGGAAAGCAGGCAAUCGAUAUUGGUUUUAUAAAGUGUGACAGGUCUUAUCCAUAGGAACAUACCUGUGUGAAGACAAGUGUUGUCGCACUUGACAUGUGACAAGUUGUAUCCAUAGACCUGUUGUUUAACACAGGCCGUGGAAGAGAAGUCUUGUCGCAUUUAACGUCUAAAGGUUCAUAUAUACAGUCAGGCUGUUUGUGCCCCUGAAACUAUUGUGGAGGUCAUUAGUGCCAAGGAAUCCCUCUACAACAGUUGUGUGCAAACCAUUUUUAGCCACUGUGAGCUUCUAUAUGAACCCUUUACUUUGCACAUUAUGUAAAGUAAACAAGGAGACUAAUAAAACCAAGAGUACCUUACGUAUAGUCUUGGUAAAACGUGGAACAUAUUUCUAACGUUAAUCAUUAGUCUCUGAGGAAUUGCAGCUUUACGAGUUUUUCCUCAUAAUGAGAUGGAACUUGAACAAAGCGCAUAGGGUAAUUAGCCUUACAUUGAGAUGAUCGUUAUUGACAUCUCAUUAGAGUUACAUACGUAUGUAAUUCAUUUUUUUUCCUCACAAUUAACCACAUUGAAGGCAUGUUGUGACUCUUAGCUAAAAGUCUCACAAUUCAAUGCAUUGAUUCAAUGUGUGUUAUAGACGGUUUAGAAUUCCUUGGCAAACCAUAGCAAUUGUCUUGCCUACCAUCUGUCUUUCCAGCCCUUGCAUGACAGAACAGUAACAUUUUAUUAAUGUUAAAUGUCAAUUUAUGAUUCUUUUUGUCAUCUUUUUUUGUCACUGAUCUUUUUGUCAUCUUUUUUUGUCAUUGAUCUUUUGUGUGAUCUUUUUUGGUAAUCUUUUUCCCUCUUUAUUUACUAACAAUAACAAUUUAACCAGCUAACUCAAACUGCUGAGCUAAGUUGUCGGGGGUUCCCAGGGAAAUCACCUAAUUAAGCUAAAAUUGACAAUAGUAAGACAAUGGUUAAAGGAAUGCAAAUAAAUGUCACCACAUCAGAAUCUUGCUCGUAAAUAUCAAUUUGUCCUAAAGUUAUAAAUGUGAAAUGAACAACAUGUUGACACAUUUAAAUGUCCAUACAAUCCUAAGGAAAGGUGACCUCAGAUGACAAUGGAUCUACAAUCUAUCAUAAUAGGAUUCUCCAUUGGAGUAGUAAUAGGCUGGUCUAUUAAGUGGUUUAGUAAAAGGGGCAUGAUUAAUGUGCAUGUUCAAAUGUAGCUCAGCAAAAUAAAGGUAUAUGUGUAGAGGCAUUGUUUACUAGCAAUAGAUAUUCUAAAAUAAAGAUCAAAACAAUUCAUAAACCUGUGUGCAUUGUCUAUACCAAACAUAGCAUAUCAAAUUAUUCAUUGUACUACAUUAUUAUUGUUCUCUUCAUGUGAUCCAAUUAGCUCAUAAUAACAUCACUUGUGACUAAUUUUAGAAUUAUAGACACAGCAGACUGAGUGAUUAUAAAACAAGUGAACUUCAUAUUUUGCACUGUUCUUAUUACUCUCUAUUGAAAUCCUAAUACUAAAACCAAUCACUUUUAUAGUCUUUUCUUCUUAAGGAUCUAUUAAAUCUGUCUCUCCUGGCCAUAAUGGAUCUCAGAUUAAUUGAAGUGUCCUUUGGGUUGAAUUUAAGAUCUAGCAACAACAUCAUCAACCUAGCUACUCUGCUGGUAUCAUUACCAAGAGCAAUAAGAUCACGCAGAAAUCAUCAAACUAGAGCAUUACCAGUUAAUGAUGACAUUCCCUACCCAAUUCAAGAAACAAGUCGUGAUCAGCUACAUACUGCUAUACAUCUUCCAGAUGGGAGGCUCAUGCCAUUAAGAGUAUCCCAAGGACCUUCAAUUGUCUGAUGAGGCCAGGGCCAGGAGAGACAGAUGGAAAGCAGGCAAAAUCUUAAAGUGAAAAUUUUAUCAAGCGUUCAACAAGUUUUUUAAUCAUACAGUGAGUUAUUGAUACAAAUUGAGAG